GUCCUUUUGAGUGUAUAUAAGGUCUGACCUGCCCAGUGAUUUAUUUUAACGGCCGCGGUAUAUUGACCGUGCAAAGGUAGCAUAAUCAUUAGUCUUUUAAAAGAGGGCUGGAAUGAAAGGUUUGACGAGGUAUUAACUGUCUCAUUUUAUUUGGAUUUAGAAUUUAACUUUUUAGUCAAAAGGCUUAAAUUUAAUUGGAAGACGAGAAGACCCUAUAGAGCUUUAUAUUAAUUAUUUUAGUUAUAAAUAUAUAAUUUUUAAUCAAAUGAAUUAUUAUUUUGUUGGGGUGACAAAAAAAUAGAACUAACUUUUUUAUUUAUUUAACAUUAAUUUAUGGUUAUUUGAUCCAUUAUUAUUGAUUAUUAGAUUAAGUUACCUUAGGGAUAACAGCGUAAUCCUCUCCCAGAGUUCAUAUUUACGAGUGGGGCUUGCGACCUCGAUGUUGGAUUAAGAUAAUAAUUAGGUGUAGCCGCUUAAUUUAUAGGUCUGUUCGACCUUUAAAUUCUU
rnacentral:rRNA from 1 species